rnacentral:rRNA from 1 species
AAACCUGAGAAACCCAAAAGAUCGAAUGGGGAGAUUCAUCGCCAGCGGCGUUUGCUUCCGUGUGGUUUCGCGAUGUCGCGGGAUUUCGGUUCCGUGGCACGCUGCCACUGCGGCAUGUCAGGCGUCGUCGGUGUGCACUUCUCCCCUAGUAGGACGUCGCGACCCGUUGGGUGUAGGCCUACGGCCCGUACGGUCGACUGUUGCGUCGCGUUCACGCGCGUUCACGUGGCAGACCUACGGUGUUCCCGGCCUACUGCCCGGCGGUAUGGAACGCUUCAAUUGGUAUCGAGCCGCACACUGCGUGCGUUCUGGCUCCUCGGCAGGCUCGUCCCGCUCGGAUUUACGGACCUAGCGCCGUUGCCGGGUGCUCGAUGUGGCCGUUAAGCCGAGGAUGUCCUCGAACGGGCUCUCUCGAAAGGAUACCGGUCGGCGACGCUACUGCUUUGGGUACUUU